GACGUAGGGUCCGAGCGCUGUCCGGAGUUACUGGGCGUAAAGGGCGCGUAGGCGGCUUUGUGCGUCACACGUGAAAGCCCCUGGCUUAACCAGGGAGGGUCGUGUGAAACGGCGAAGCUGGAGGCAGAGAGAGGCUGGUGGAAUUCCCGGAGUAGUGGUGAAAUGCGUAGAUAUCGGGAGGAACACCGGUGGCGAAGGCGGCCAGCUGGCUCUGACCUGACGCUGAGGCGCGAAGGCGUGGGGAGCGAACGGG
rnacentral:rRNA from 1 species